ensembl:miRNA eca-mir-7045 eca-mir-7045
CGAGUGACAGGCUUUCCUUGAGGUGCUGGCGGCCGGGGGAGGGGGAGUUGCCCGUGGAGACUCGCUCACUCUGGCCCCCCGGCCGCCAGGGCACGGUCAUCGUGGAGCGCU